AAUCAACGCUGGCGGCGUGCCUCAGACAUGCAAGUCGAACGCGAAAGUUCCCUUCGGGGGAUGAGUAGAGUGGCGCACGGGUGAGUAACACGUAGGUAAUCUACCUUCGGAUGGGGAAUAACAACCGGAAACGGUUGCUAAUACCGCAUAAUGCAGCGGCACCUAAUGGUGACAGUUGUUAAAGCGGGGGAUCGAAAGACCUCGCGUCUGAAGAGGAGCCUGCGGCGGAUUAGCUAGUUGGUAGGGUAACGGCCUACCAAGGCUACGAUCCGUAGCCGGCCUGAGAGGGCGGUCGGCCACACUGACACUGACAUACGGGUCAGACUCCUACGGGAGGCAGCAGUCGGGAAUUUUGGGCAAUGGGCGAAAGCCUGACCCAG
rnacentral:rRNA from 1 species